rnacentral:rRNA from 1 species
UACGUAGGGGGCAAGCGUUGUCCGGAUUCAUUGGGCGUAAAGCGCGUGUAGGCGGCUCGAUAAGUCCGGUGUGAAACCUUGGGGCUCAACCCCAAGCCUGCACUGGAUACUGUCGAGCUCGAGUCCGGGAGGGGAGAGCGGAAUUCCUAGUGUAGCGGUGAAAUGCGCAGAUAUUAGGAAGAACACCGGUGGCGAAGGCGGCUCUCUGGAACGGUACUGACGCUGAGACGCGAAAGCGUGGGGAGCGAACAGG